ACGAACGCUGGCGGCGUGCCUAAUGCAUGCAAGUCGAGCGACGCACACCGGAGGGGUAACCCACUGGUAUGACGGAGCGGCGAACGGGUGAGUAACACGUGAGCAACCUGCCCCACAGAUCGGGAUAGCCCAGGGAAACCUGGAUUAAUACCGAAUAUCCUCGAGUAACCACAUGAUUGUUCGAGGAAAUGCCUUUGUGCUGUGGGAUGGGCUCGCGGCUUAUCAGCUAGUUGGUGGGGUAACGGCCUACCAAGGCAUCGACGAGUAGCUGGUCUGAGAGGACGAUCAGCCACACUGGGACUGAGACACGGCCCAGACUCCUACGGGAGGCAGCAGCAGGGAAUCUUGCGCAAUGGGCGAAAGCCUGACGCAGCAACGCCGCGUGGGGGAUGAAGGCCUUCGGGUUGUAAACCCCUUUCAGGAGGGAAGAAAUUGACGGUACCUCCAAAAGAAGCCCCGGCCAACUACGU
rnacentral:rRNA from 1 species